UACAGAGGGGGCAAGCGUUGUUCGGAAUUACUGGGCGUAAAGGGCGCGUAGGCGGCCUUCUAAGUCGAACGUGAAAUCCCCGGGCUCAACCCGGGAACUGCGUCCGAUACUGGAGGGCUCGAAUCCGGGAGAGGGAUGUGGAAUUCCAGGUGUAGCGGUGAAAUGCGUAGAUAUCUGGAGGAACACCGGUGGCGAAGGCGGCAUCCUGGACCGGUAUUGACGCUGAGGCGCGAAAGCCAGGGGAGCAAACGGG
rnacentral:rRNA from 1 species